rnacentral:lncRNA from 1 species
CACAUAUUUUUUUUUUCUCAUGGGAGAAAUGCAGCGUGGGUAUUCUCUCCAUUUCACCAAGGAGCAAGCCAAGGCUCGGAGAGGUUGAAUAAGGUCACUGAGCUUGCAAAUGCCCAAGGCGAGAUUUCUGAGCCCAGGCCUCCUGCCUUCAAGUCGGGCAGACCCAGUCUUUCAGACCUGUUCCUCUCCUCCCUAAGACAUUUCUCUCCUAAACCUCUCUCUAAGAGGAAGACAGCGAAGUGUCCCCAAGCCUAUCCAAGCUCUUCUUCCACACCCACAGGAUCAUGGAAGCCAUGGAAACCUGAUUUGGCUUCAGCUCCUGGAGACAAAUCCUUGCCCAGCCAGAUGAACUGUCUUGUCUUCAUCUUCAGUUUCUUUCCAGUGUUUGGAGAGAAAACAUGCUUCAUCCCUACUACUCCACCCUUAGUCAACCCUGGACUCAGGAAGGGGUGAAGACUCAUCAACUGGGACUUCCCCUGGUUAGUGGCUAAAAAGCUCCCACCUCCUGAAACACAAGCACCCACCCCGCCUCCCGGCUUGUUAUUGCCUUGUUAUUCAGAGCUGCUGUCUGCUGAGGCAAAAUCCCCUUUGACUUGUAACCACUCCCUAAACUCCCUUCCCUGCAAAAUCUUUUCCUCACCUGCUCUUUCCAUUAUCCUGAACUCAAAGGGAUGUAACUCUCCCGGCUACCCACCACUUCUCAGUCAUCUUCAAAGGGUGCUGACUCUCCUCUCUCCUCUGUCCAGCUCCAUCUUCCCUCAUUAGAACCUAAGAUCCUUGUUUAAUAUUUCUAUCCCCAGCAUUUAGCACAGGGCCCAGAGCAUCAUAAAUACUUUACAAAUGCUCUCUAAUUUCAUUUUAAAAUAGAUUUUAGUAAUAUCUUUUUUCUUUAAAAAUGUUCAAAAUUAAAAUUUGUUUUGGUGAACAAAAAAAAACAUUUUCUCCUCCUCCCCCCACCUUUCCCACCUCAUUGAAAAUGAGAAAGAAAAGCAAAAGUCUUGUAACAUAUGCAUAGUCAAACAGAACAAAUUCCUACUUUGGCCACGUCCAAAAAAUAAAUGUCUCAUUCUGCAUCA